GUCGACGCUGAAGCCUGGUGCUUGCACCGGGUGGAUGAGUGGCGAACGGGUGAGUAACACGUGAGUAACCUGCCCCUGACUUCGGGAUAAGCCCGGGAAACUGGGUCUAAUACCGGAUACGACUGCCGGACGCAUGUCUGGUGGUGGAAAGUUUUUUCGGUUGGGGAUGGGCUCGCGGCCUAUCAGUUUGUUGGUGAGGUAAUGGCUCACCAAGACGACGACGGGUAGCCGGCCUGAGAGGGCGACCGGCCACACUGGGACUGAGACACGGCCCAGACUCCUACGGGAGGCAGCAGUGGGGAAUAUUGCACAAUGGGGGAAACCCUGAUGCAGCGACGCAGCGUGCGGGAUGACGGCCUUCGGGUUGUAAACCGCUUUCAGCAGGGAAGAAGCGCAAGUGACGGUACCUGCAGAAGAAGUACCGGCUAACUACGUGCCAGCAGCCGCGGUAAUACGUAGGGUACGAGCGUUGUCCGGAAUUAUUGGGCGUAAAGAGCUCGUAGGUGGUUGGUCACGUCUGCUGUGGAAACGCAACGCUUAACGUUGCGCGUGCAGUGGGUACGGGCUGACUAGAGUGCAGUAGGGGAGUCUGGAAUUCCUGGUGUAGCGGUGAAAUGCGCAGAUAUCAGGAGGAACACCGGUGGCGAAGGCGGGACUCUGGGCUGUAACUGACACUGAGGAGCGAAAGCAUGGGGAGCGAACAGGAUUAGAUACCCUGGUAGUCCAUGCCGUAAACGUUGGGCACUAGGUGGUGGGGGGGCAUUCCACGUUCUCCGCGCCGUAGCUAACGCAUUAAGUGCCCCGCCUGGGGGAGUACGGUCGCAAGGCUAAAACUCAAAGGAAUUGACGGGGGCCCGCACAAGCGGCGGAGCAUGCGGAUUAAUUCGAUGCAACGCGAAGAACCUUACCAAGGCUUGACAUACACCGGACCGUCCUGGAAACAGGUCCUCUUCUUUGAAGCUGGUGUACAGGUGGGUGCAUGGUUGUCGUCAGCUCGUGUCGUGAGAAGGUUGGGUUAAGUCCCGCAACGAGCGCAACCCUCGUUCUAUGUUGCCAGCAUGGGGAUGGUGGGAACUCAUAGGAGACUGCC
rnacentral:rRNA from 1 species